rnacentral:lncRNA from 1 species
CAAAAGUUUGUGUAAAAUUUUAUGAUAUAGCAAGUGAAGAUCGAAAGAAAAGGCUGGAUUUUUUGAAGAAAGGAACACAGCUGAAUUAUCAACGUCACUGUUUGAAUUCAACAGAAGUAAUACUUUCUACCUCUUCGACCACACUGAUAUUACCGUUACAUAUCCUGGGGAAAGUGAAACAAAUUGGGCUAUUGCAAGUUUGGUUACUGCUUGACUUGAUCUCAAAAGCUGACAUAUGCAUGCAAGAAAACGUUCAUCUGAUCGCAGUAAAACUCGUUUAUUGGGGCCUCCUGAGAACAAGGUCCGUAUUAUAA